AUUGAACGCUGGCGGCAGGCUUAACACAUGCAAGUCGAACGAGUGGCGGACGGGUGAGUAAUGCUUGGGAAUCUAGCUUAUGGAGGGGGAUAACUACGGGAAACUGUAGCUAAUACCGCGUACCAUAGGAUCAGCCCAAGUGGGAGUAGGUAGUUGGUGAGGUAAAGGCUGACCAGGCCGACGAACGCUAGCUGGUCUGAGGGGAUGACCGGCCACACUGGGACUGAGCCACGGCCCAGACUCCUACGGGAGGCAGCAGUGGGGAAUCUUGGGCAAUGGGCGCAAGCCUGAUGCAGCCAGGCCGAGUGUGUGAAGAAGGCCUUCGGGUUGUAAAGCACUUUCAGCGAGGAGGCGUUACUCGCAGAAGAAGCACCGGCUAACUCCGUGCCAGCAGCCGCGGUAAUUC
rnacentral:rRNA from 1 species